rnacentral:tRNA from 1 species
GUGCUCUCAGGGGUAGAGUGCUUGCCUAGCAUGCACAAGGCCCUGGGUUCAAUCCCCAGAACCACA